rnacentral:rRNA from 1 species
GAUGAACGCUAGCGGGAGGCCUAACACAUGCAAGCCGAGCGGUAUUGUUUCUUCGGAAAUGAGAGAGCGGCGUACGGGUGCGGAACACGUGUGUAACCUGCCUUUAUCUGGGGGAUAGCCUUUUCGAAAGGAAGAUUAAUACUCCAUAAUAUAUUGAACGGCAUCGUUUAAUAUUGAAAGCUCCGGCGGAUAGAGAUGGGCACGCGCAAGAUUAGCUAGUUGGUGAGGUAACGGCUCACCAAGGCGAUGAUCUUUAGGGGGCCUGAGAGGGUGAUCCCCCACACUGGUACUGAGACACGGACCAGACUCCUACGGGAGGCAGCAGUGAGGAAUAUUGGUCAAUGGGUGCAAGCCUGAACCAGCCAUCCCGCGUGAAGGACGACUGCCCUAUGGGUUGUAAACUUCUUUUGAUAGGGAUAAACCUACCCUCGUGAGGGUAGCUGAAGGUACUAUACGAAUAAGCACCGGCUAACUCCGUGCCAGCAGCCGCGGUAAU